rnacentral:tRNA from 1 species
CCAUCGGUGGUUCAGUGGUAGAGUGCUCGCCUGCCACGCGGGAGGCCCGGGUUGGAUUCCCGGCCGACGCA